UUGGUGAGGUAAUGGCUCACCAAGGCGACGACGGGUAGCCGGCCUGAGAGGGCGACCGGCCACACUGGGACUGAGACACGGCCCAGACUCCUACGGGAGGCAGCAGUGGGGAAUAUUGCACAAUGGGCGAAAGCCUGAUGCAGCGACGCCGCGUGAGGGAUGACGGCCUUCGGGUUGUAAACCUCUUUCAGCAGGGAAGAAGCGAAAGUGACGGUACCUGCAGAAGAAGCGCCGGCUAACUACGUGCCAGCAGCCGCGGUAAUACGUAGGGCGCAAGCGUUGUCCGGAAUUAUUGGGCGUAAAGAGCUCGUAGGCGGCUUGUCACGUCGGGUGUGAAAGCCCGGGGCUUAACCCCGGGUCUGCAUUCGAUACGGGCUAGCUAGAGUGUGGUAGGGGAGAUCGGAAUCCCUGGUGUAGCGGUGAAAUGCGCAGAUAUCAGGAGGAACACCGGUGGCGAAGGCGGAUCUCUGGGCCAUUACUGACGCUGAGGAGCGAAAGCGUGGGGAGCGAACAGGAUUAGAUACCCUGGUAGUCCACGCCGUAAACGGUGGGAACUAGGUGUUGGCGACAUUCCACGUCGUCGGUGCCGCAGCUAACGCAUUAAGUUCCCCGCCUGGGG
rnacentral:rRNA from 1 species